GACUUCGUAGCUCAGCGGUAGAGCGUCUGAUUCCAGCGCUUUGGUGCUUCCAGAAGGUCAUCCGUUCAAUCCGGGUCGAGGUCA